GUGCUCACUUUGGCAGCACAUACACUAAAAUUAGAACGAUACAGAGAAGAUUAGUAUGGCCCCCUGCGCAAGGGUGACACGCAAAUUCGUGAAGUGUUCCAUAUUUAA
ensembl:snRNA U6 U6 spliceosomal RNA